rnacentral:rRNA from 1 species
AGGACGAACGCUGGCGGUGUGCUUCACACAUGCAAGUCGAACGAGGUAGCAAUACCUAGUGGCGGACGGGUGAGUAACGCGUAGGAAUCUACCAUUAGAUGGGGGAUAGCAGGCCGAAAGGCCUAUUAAUACCGCAUAUGUGUACGCCUCGACAGGGGUGUACAUGAAAGGAGUAAUCCGUCUGAUGAUGAGCCUGCGUCCGAUUAGCUAGUUGGUAGGGUAAAAGCCUACCAAGGCGACGAUCGGUAGGUGGUCUGAGAGGAUGAUCACCCACAAUGGGACUGAGACACGGCCCAUACUCCUACGGGAGGCAGCAGUGGGGAAUUUUGUGCAAUGGGCGAAAGCCUGACACAGCGACACCGCGUGAGCGAAGAAGCCCUGGGUGUAAAGCUCUGUCGGCUGGAACGAAAAAUGACGGUACCAGCAAAGGAAGCGAUCGGCUAACUACGUGCCAGCAGCCGC